GGGGAUACUGCUCGGCUAGGGGACGAGAGAGGCAGGCGUAUUCCCGGGGUAGGGGUGAAAAUCCUAUAAUCCCGAGAAGACCACCAGUGGCGAAGGCUGCCUGCUAGAACGCGCCCGACGGUGAGGGAUGAAAGCUGGGGGAGCGAACCGGAUUAGAUACCCGGGUAGUCCCAGCUGUAAACGAUGCAGACUAGGUGUUUGGACGGCCACGUGCCGUUCUAGUGCCGCAGGGAAGCUGUUAAGUCUGCCGCCUGGGGAGUACGAUCGCAAGAUUGAAACUUAAAGGAAUUGGCGGGGGAGCACCACAAGGGGUGAAGCUUGCGGUUUAAUUGGAGUCAACGCCGGG
rnacentral:rRNA from 1 species